rnacentral:rRNA from 1 species
UACAGAGGGUGCAAGCGUUAAUCGGAUUUACUGGGCGUAAAGCGUGCGUAGGCGGCUCGCUAAGUCGGUUGUGAAAUCCCUGGGCUUAACCUGGGAACUGCAGUCGAUACUGGCGGACUAGAGUACGGUAGAGGGUGGCGGAACUCCGGGUGUAGCGGUGAAAUGCGUAGAUAUCAGGAGGAACACCGGUGGCGAAGGCGGGUCUCUGGGCCGAUACUGACGCUGAGGAGCGAAAGCGUGGGGAGCGAACAGG